GCUACACAUGCAGUCGAGCGGAACGACACUAACAAUCCUUCGGGUGCGUUAAUGGGCGUCGAGCGGCGGACGGGUGAGUAAUGCCUAGGAAAUUGCCUUGAUGUGGGGGAUAACCAUUGGAAACGAUGGCUAAUACCGCAUAAUGCCUACGGGCCAAAGAGGGGGAUCUUCGGACCUCUCGCGUCAAGAUAUGCCUAGGUGGGAUUAGCUAGUUGGUGAGGUAAUGGCUCACCAAGGCGACGAUCCCUAGCUGGUCUGAGAGGAUGAUCAGCCACACUGGAACUGAGACACGGUCCAGACUCCUACGGGAGGCAGCAGUGGGGAAUAUUGCACAAUGGGCGAAAGCCUGAUGCAGCCAUGCCGCGUGUAUGAAGAAGGCCUUCGGGUUGUAAAGUACUUUCAGUUGUGAGGAAGGGUGUGUAGUUAAUAGCUGCGCAUCUUGACGUUAGCAACAGAAGAAGCACCGGCUAACUCCGUGCCAGCAGCCGCGGUAAUACGGAGGGUGCGAGCGUUAAUCGGAAUUACUGGGCGUAAAGCGCAUGCAGGUGGUUCAUUAAGUCAGAUGUGAAAGCCCGGGGCUCAACCUCGGAACUGCAUUUGAAACUGGUGAACUAGAGUGCUGUAGA
rnacentral:rRNA from 1 species